rnacentral:rRNA from 1 species
GAAUUUUGGGCAAUGGGCGAAAGCCUGACCCAGCAACGCCGCGUGUGGGAUGAAGGCCCUCGGGUCGUAAACCACUGUCCGGAGGAGCGAAUUGCUCGGGAUUAAUACUCCCGAGAGUUGACGGUACCGCCAAAGGAAGCACCGGCCAACCCCGUGCCAGCAGCCGCGGUAAUACGGAGGGUGCAAGCGUUGUUCGGAAUCACUGGGCGUAAAGCGCGUGUAGGCGGUUGGGUAAGUCAGAUGUGAAAGCCCCGGGCUCAACUCGGGAACUGCAUCUGAAACUGCCCUGCUAGAGUCCCGGAGAGGAAGGCGGAACUCCCAGUGUAGGGGUGAAAUCCGUAGAUACUGGGAAGAACACCGGCGGCGAAGGCGGCCUUCUGGACGGUGACUGACGCUGAGACGCGAAAGCGUGGGGAGCAAACAGG